rnacentral:rRNA from 1 species
UAAGAGACAGCAGCCGCGGGAAUACGGAGGGUGCAAGCGUUAUCCGGAUUUAUUGGGUUUAAAGGGUCCGUAGGCGGAUCUGUAAGUCAGUGGUGAAAUCUCACAGCUUAACUGUGAAACUGCCAUUGAUACUGCAGGUCUUGAGUAAAUUUGAAGUGGCUGGAAUAAGUAGUGUAGCGGUGAAAUGCAUAGAUAUUACUUAGAACACCAAUUGCGAAGGCAGGUCACUAAGAUUUAACUGACGCUGAUGGACGAAAGCGUGGGGAGCGAACAGGAUUAGAUACCCCCGUAGUCCCUGUCUCUUAUACACA